GGGUUGUGAGGUUAAGCGACUAAGCGUACACGGUGGAUGCCCUGGCAGUCAGAGGCGAUGAAGGACGUGCUAAUCUGCGAUAAGCGUCGGUAAGGUGAUAUGAACCGUUAUAACCGGCGAUUUCCGAAUGGGGAAACCCAGUGUGUUUCGACACACUAUCAUUAACUGAAUCCAUAGGUUAAUGAGGCGAACCGGGGGAACUGAAACAUCUAAGUACCCCGAGGAAAAGAAAUCAACCGAGAUUCCCCCAGUAGCGGCGAGCGAACGGGGAGCAGCCCAGAGCCUGAAUCAGUGUGUGUGUUAGUGGAAGCGUCUGGAAAGGCGCGCGAUACAGGGUGACAGCCCCGUACACAAAAAUGCACAUAUUGUGAGCUCGAUGAGUAGGGCGGGACACGUGGUAUCCUGUCUGAAUAUGGGGGGACCAUCCUCCAAGGCUAAAUACUCCUGACUGACCGAUAGUGAACCAGUACCGUGAGGGAAAGGCGAAAAGAACCCCGGCGAGGGGAGUGAAAAAGAACCUGAAACCGUGUACGUACAAGCAGUGGGAGCACGCUUAGGCGUGUGACUGCGUACCUUUUGUAUAAUGGGUCAGCGACUUAUAUUCUGUAGCAAGGUUAACCGAAUAGGGGAGCCGAAGGGAAACCGAGUCUUAACUGGGCGUUAAGUUGCAGGGUAUAGACCCGAAACCCGGUGAUCUAGCCAUGGGCAGGUUGAAGGUUGGGUAACACUAACUGGAGGACCGAACCGACUAAUGUUGAAAAAUUAGCGGAUGACUUGUGGCUGGGGGUGAAAGGCCAAUCAAACCGGGAGAUAGCUGGUUCUCCCCGAAAGCUAUUUAGGUAGCGCCUCGUGAAUUCAUCUCCGGGGGUAGAGCACUGUUUCGGCAAGGGGGUCAUCCCGACUUACCAACCCGAUGCAAACUGCGAAUACCGGAGAAUGUUAUCACGGGAGACACACGGCGGGUGCUAACGUCCGUCGUGAAGAGGGAAACAACCCAGACCGCCAGCUAAGGUCCCAAAGUCAUGGUUAAGUGGGAAACGAUGUGGGAAGGCCCAGACAGCCAGGAUGUUGGCUUAGAAGCAGCCAUCAUUUAAAGAAAGCGUAAUAGCUCACUGGUCGAGUCGGCCUGCGCGGAAGAUGUAACGGGGCUAAACCAUGCACCGAAGCUGCGGCAGCGACACUAUGUGUUGUUGGGUAGGGGAGCGUUCUGUAAGCCUGUGAAGGUGUGCUGUGAGGCAUGCUGGAGGUAUCAGAAGUGCGAAUGCUGACAUAAGUAACGAUAAAGCGGGUGAAAAGCCCGCUCGCCGGAAGACCAAGGGUUCCUGUCCAACGUUAAUCGGGGCAGGGUGAGUCGACCCCUAAGGCGAGGCCGAAAGGCGUAGUCGAUGGGAAACAGGUUAAUAUUCCUGUACUUGGUGUUACUGCGAAGGGGGGACGGAGAAGGCUAUGUUGGCCGGGCGACGGUUGUCCCGGUUUAAGCGUGUAGGCUGGUUUUCCAGGCAAAUCCGGAAAAUCAAGGCUGAGGCGUGAUGACGAGGCACUACGGUGCUGAAGCAACAAAUGCCCUGCUUCCAGGAAAAGCCUCUAAGCAUCAGGUAACAUCAAAUCGUACCCCAAACCGACACAGGUGGUCAGGUAGAGAAUACCAAGGCGCUUGAGAGAACUCGGGUGAAGGAACUAGGCAAAAUGGUGCCGUAACUUCGGGAGAAGGCACGCUGAUAUGUAGGUGAAGUCCCUCGCGGAUGGAGCUGAAAUCAGUCGAAGAUACCAGCUGGCUGCAACUGUUUAUUAAAAACACAGCACUGUGCAAACACGAAAGUGGACGUAUACGGUGUGACGCCUGCCCGGUGCCGGAAGGUUAAUUGAUGGGGUUAGCCGCAAGGCGAAGCUCUUGAUCGAAGCCCCGGUAAACGGCGGCCGUAACUAUAACGGUCCUAAGGUAGCGAAAUUCCUUGUCGGGUAAGUUCCGACCUGCACGAAUGGCGUAAUGAUGGCCAGGCUGUCUCCACCCGAGACUCAGUGAAAUUGAACUCGCUGUGAAGAUGCAGUGUACCCGCGGCAAGACGGAAAGACCCCGUGAACCUUUACUAUAGCUUGACACUGAACAUUGAGCCUUGAUGUGUAGGAUAGGUGGGAGGCUUUGAAGUGUGGACGCCAGUCUGCAUGGAGCCGACCUUGAAAUACCACCCUUUAAUGUUUGAUGUUCUAACGUGGACCCGUAAUCCGGGUUGCGGACAGUGUCUGGUGGGUAGUUUGACUGGGGCGGUCUCCUCCUAAAGAGUAACGGAGGAGCACGAAGGUUGGCUAAUCC
rnacentral:rRNA from 1 species